AUUGAACGCUGGCGGCAGGCCUAACACAUGCAAGUCGAGCGGAUGAAGGGAGCUUGCUCCUGGAUUCAGCGGCGGACGGGUGAGUAAUGCCUAGGAAUCUGCCUGGUAGUGGGGGAUAACGUCCGGAAACGGGCGCUAAUACCGCAUACGUCCUGAGGGAGAAAGUGGGGGAUCUUCGGACCUCACGCUAUCAGAUGAGCCUAGGUCGGAUUAGCUAGUUGGUGGGGUAAAGGCCUACCAAGGCGACGAUCCGUAACUGGUCUGAGAGGAUGAUCAGUCACCAGGGACCUAGGCCACGGUCCAGACCCCUACGGGAGGCAGCAGGGGGAAAUUUUGAACAAUGGGCGAAACCCUGAUCCAGCCAUGGCGGGGGUGUAAAGAAGGUCUUCGGUUUGUAAAGCACUUUAAGUUGGGGGGAAGGGCAGAAAGUUAAAACCUUGCUUUUUGGCCUUUACCAACAAAAAAAGCACCGGCUAACUUCGU
rnacentral:rRNA from 1 species